rnacentral:rRNA from 1 species
GACGAACGCUGGCGGCGUGCUUAACACAUGCAAGUCGAACGGAAAGGCCUCUUUCGGGGGGUACUCGAGUGGCGAACGGGUGAGUAACACGUGAGUAACCUGCCCUUGACUUUGGGAUAACUUCAGGAAACUGGGGCUAAUACCGGAUAGGAGCUCCUGCUGCAUGGUGGGGGUUGGAAAGUUUCGGCGGUUGGGGAUGGACUCGCGGCUUAUCAGCUUGUUGGUGGGGUAGUGGCUUACCAAGGCUUUGACGGGUAGCCGGCCUGAGAGGGUGACCGGCCACAUUGGGACUGAGAUACGGCCCAGACUCCUACGGGAGGCAGAAGUGGGGAAGAUUGCACAAUGGGUGGAAGCCUGAUGCAGCAACGCCGUGUGCGGGAUGACGGCCUUCGGGUUGUAAACCGCUUUCGCUCAUGACGAAGCUUUGUGUGACGGUAGUGGGUAAAGAAGCACCGGCUAACUACGUG